rnacentral:rRNA from 1 species
UACGUAGGGGGCAAGCGUUGUCCGGAAUUAUUGGGCGUAAAGCGCGCGCAGGCGGCUAUUUAAGUCUGGUGUUUAAACCUUGGGCUCAACCUGAGGUCGCACUGGAAACUGGGUGGCUUGAGUACAGAAGAGGAAAGUGGAAUUCCACGUGUAGCGGUGAAAUGCGUAGAUAUGUGGAGGAACACCAGUGGCGAAGGCGACUUUCUGGGCUGUAACUGACGCUGAGGCGCGAAAGCGUGGGGAGCGAACAGG